rnacentral:lncRNA from 1 species
UUCAGGGUCGACGAUUGUGCGGCUUCUCUGGGGCAUUCGUGUCAUUUGGGGGAAAAACCUUAUUCCCCCAACACUACCCCCCGACUUCCGAGUUCGAGCGGCUUGUGGGCUCGGACGUAGGAAGUAAAGUCCAUCGUUAAAGUUGGGGGGCGAACUUCGUCCGUACCCUCAUGUUUCUUGGAAUUUUCAUGGUAGGACCUGCGCCUUUGGGCGUUUCGAGGUUACUUUGUUCGGCGAAUUAAUGAUGGGGUCCAUAUCCCUACGUCUUUCGAGGCGACUAUAGCGGGGGCGGUGUCUCUUGGAUUACCGAGGUUGGUUUGUGAGGCGGACCCAGGAUGAGGGUCCUCGGGUUCGACGAGGCGGCGCCUCGGCCCCACAAUCGAGAGUUCCCGCUCAUUAAUGAGCGUGCCAUUUUGGGUUUCAAAACGGACACGCGGCAUGACCAGGGGUCGGACGCUUCCGAUUUCGUGUUACCGGGUCAUAAUUUCGGGGGA